rnacentral:rRNA from 1 species
AGGUAAGCUACUAAGAGCGAAUGGUGGAUGCCUUGACUGGUAAAGGCGAUGAAGGACGUACUAGACUGCGAUAAGCUACGGGGAGCUGUCAAGAAGCUUUGAUCCGUAGAUUUCCGAAUGGGGCAACCCAAUGUAUAGAGAUAUACAUUACCUAUAUAGGAGCGAACGAGGGGAAUUGAAACAUCUUAGUACCCUCAGGAAAAGAAAUCAAUAGAGAUUGCGUCAGUAGCGGCGAGCGAAAGCGCAAGAGGGCAAACCCAGUGCUUGCACUGGGGGUUGUAGGACUGCAAUGUGCAAGAGCUGAGUUUAGCAGAACAUUCUGGAAAGUAUAGCCAUAGAGGGUGAUAGUCCCGUAUGCGAAAAACAAAGCUUAGCUAGCAGUAUCCUGAGUAGGGCGGGACACGAGGAAUCCUGUCUGAAUCCGGGUCGACCACGAUCCAACCCUAAAUACUAAUACCAGAUCGAUAGUGCACAAGUACCGUGAGGGAAAGGUGAAAAGAACUGAGGUGAUCAGAGUGAAAUAGAACCUGAAACCAUUUGCUUACAAUCAUUCAGAGCACUAUGUAGCAAUACAGUGUGAUGGACUGCCUUUUGCAUAAUGAGCCUGCGAGUUGUGGUGUCUGGCAAGGUUAAGCAAACGCGAAGCCGUAGCGAAAGCGAGUCUGAAUAGGGCGCUUAGUCAGAUGCUGCAGACCCGAAACGAAGUGAUCUAUCCAUGAGCAAGUUGAAGCUAGUGUAAGAACUAGUGGAGGACUGAACCCAUAGGCGUUGAAAAGCCCCGGGAUGACUUGUGGAUAGGGGUGAAAGGCCAAUCAAACUUCGUGAUAGCUGGUUCUCUCCGAAAUAUAUUUAGGUAUAGCGUUGUGUCGUAAUAUAAGGGGGUAGAGCACUGAAUGGGCUAGGGCAUACACCAAUGUACCAAACCCUAUCAAACUCCGAAUACCUUAUAUGUAAUCACAGCAGUCAGGCGGCGAGUGAUAAAAUCCGUCGUCAAGAGGGAAACAACCCAGACUACCAGCUAAGGUCCCUAAAUCUUACUUAAGUGGAAAACGAUGUGAAGUUACUUAAACAACCAGGAGGUUGGCUUAGAAGCAGCCAUCCUUUAAAGAAAGCGUAAUAGCUCACUGGUCUAGUGAUUUUGCGCGGAAAAUAUAACGGGGCUAAAGUAAGUACCGAAGCUGUAGACUUGCACACAACUUAGAUUAUUUAAGUUUAGAAUAUGAGAAACUAAGUUAUAUGUUUAGUUAUAUUUUUACUGAUUUUUAUAGAGUAAAGAUAGAAAUAAAACUUAGUAAAAUCAGUAAAAAUAUUCUUAGGCUAAAGUUAAGUAGUUUAAGUUGUGUGCAAGUGGUAGGAGAGCGUUCUAUUUGCGUCGAAGGUAUACCGAUAAGGAGUGCUGGAGCGAAUAGAAGUGAGCAUGCAGGCAUGAGUAGCGAUAAUUAAUGUGAGAAUCAUUAACGCCGUAAACCCAAGGUUUCCUACGCGAUGCUCGUCAUCG